rnacentral:rRNA from 1 species
GCGAAAGCUGACGGAUCAUGCCGCGUGAAGGAAGACGGUCUGUGGAUCUUAAACUUCUUUUAUCAGAGAAGAAUCAAUGACGGUAUCUGAUGAAUAAGCUCCGGCUAACUCUGUGCCAGCAGCCGCGGUAAUACAGAGGGAGCAAGCGUUAUCCGGAAUGAUUGGGCGUAAAGCAUUUGUAGGUGGCUCUUAAAGUCUACAGUCAAAUAUCAAGGCUUAACCUUGAGCAGGCAGUGGAGUACUCAAGAGCUAGAGUGUGGUAGAGGUAGAGGGAAUUCCAUGUGGAGCGGUGAAAUGCGUAGAGAUAUGGAAGAACACCAGCGGCGAAGGCGCUCUACUGGGCCAAGACUGACACUGAGAAAUGAAAGCUAGGGGAGCGACUAGGAUUAGAUACCCUAUUAGUCCUAGCUGUAAACUAUGAAGACUAAAUGCUGCCGAAAGCAGUGUUGUAGCUAACGCGUUAAGUCUUCCUGCCUGGGGGAAGGUAUGCUCGCCAAAGAAGUGAAAACUUCCAAAGGGAAUUUGACCGGGGGAACCCCGGNNAACAAAGCAGGUGGGACUUAUCGCGGAUUUAAUUCGGAUGCAACCGCGAAGAAACCUU